rnacentral:rRNA from 1 species
AUUGAACGCUGGCGGCAGGCCUAACACAUGCAAGUCGAGCGGAUGAAGGGAGCUUGCUCCUGGAUUCAGCGGCGGACGGGUGAGUAAUGCCUAGGAAUCUGCCUGGUAGUGGGGGAUAACGUCCGGAAACGGGCGCUAAUACUGCAUACGUCCUGAGGGAGAAAGUGGGGGAUCUUCGGACCUCACGCUAUCAGAUGAGCCUAGGUCGGAUUAGCUAGUUGGUGGGGUAAAGGCCUACCAAGGCGACGAUCCGUAACUGGUCUGAGAGGAUGAUCAGUCACACUGGAACUGAGACACGGUCCAGACUCCUACGGGAGGCAGCAGUGGGGAAUAUUGGACAAUGGGCGAAAGCCUGAUCCAGCCAUGCCGCGUGUGUGAAGAAGGUCUUCGGGUUGUAAAGCACUUUAAGUUGGGAGGAAGGGCAGUAAGUUAAUACCUUGCUGUUUUGACGUUACCAACAGAAUAAGCACCGGCUAACUUCGUG